CUCAUGAUGAACGCUAGCUACAGGCUUAACACAUGCAAGUCGAGGGGCAGCAUGGUCUUAGCUUGCUAAGGCCGAUGGCGACCGGCGCACGGGUGAGUAACACGUAUCCAACCUGCCGUCUACUCUUGGACAGCCUUCUGAAAGGAAGAUUAAUACAAGAUGGCAUCAUGAGUCCGCAUGUUCACAUGAUUAAAGGUAUUCCGGUAGACGAUGGGGAUGCGUUCCAUUAGAUAGUAGGCGGGGUAACGGCCCACCUAGUCUUCGAUGGAUAGGGGUUCUGAGAGGAAGGUCCCCCACAUUGGAACUGAGACACGGUCCAAACUCCUACGGGAGGCAGCAGUGAGGAAUAUUGGUCAAUGGGCGAGAGCCUGAACCAGCCAAGUAGCGUGAAGGAUGACUGCCCUAUGGGUUGUAAACUUCUUUUAUAAAGGAAUAAAGUCGGGUAUGGAUACCCGUUUGCAUGUACUUUAUGAAUAAGGAUCGGCUAACUCCGUGCCAGCAGCCGCGGUAAUACGGAGGAUCCGAGCGUUAUCCGGAUUUAUUGGGUUUAAAGGGAGCGUAGAUGGAUGUUUAAGUCAGUUGUGAAAGUUUGCGGCUCAACCGUAAAAUUGCAGUUGAUACUGGAUAUCUUGAGUGCAGUUGAGGCAGGCGGAAUUCGUGGUGUAGCGGUGAAAUGCUUAGAUAUCACGAAGAACUCCGAUUGCGAAGGCAGCCUGCUAAGCUGCAACUGACAUUGAGGCUCGAAAGUGUGGGUAUCAAACAGGAUUAGAUACCCUGGUAGUCCACACGGUAAACGAUGAAUACUCGCUGUUUGCGAUAUACUGCAAGCGGCCAAGCGAAAGCGUUAAGUAUUCCACCUGGGGAGUACGCCGGCAACGGUGAAACUCAAAGGAAUUGACGGGGGCCCGCACAAGCGGAGGAACAUGUGGUUUAAUUCGAUGAUACGCGAGGAACCUUACCCGGGCUUAAAUUGCAGAUGAAUUACGGUGAAAGCCGUAAGCCGCAAGGCAUCUGUGAAGGUGCUGCAUGGUUGUCGUCAGCUCGUGCCGUGAGGUGUCGGCUUAAGUGCCAUAACGAGCGCAACCCUUGUUGUCAGUUACUAACAGGUUCCGCUGAGGACUCUGACAAGACUGCCAUCGUAAGAUGUGAGGAAGGCGGGGAUGACGUCAAAUCAGCACGGCCCUUACGUCCGGGGCUACACACGUGUUACAAUGGGGGGUACAGAGGGCCGCUACCACGCGAGUGGAUGCCAAUCCCCAAAACCUCUCUCAGUUCGGACUGGAGUCUGCAACCCGACUCCACGAAGCUGGAUUCGCUAGUAAUCGCGCAUCAGCCACGGCGCGGUGAAUACGUUCCCGGGCCUUGUACACACCGCCCGUCAAGCCAUGGGAGCCGGGGGUACCUGAAGUGCGUAACCGCGAGGAGCGCCCUAGGGUAAAACUGGUGAC
rnacentral:rRNA from 1 species